UACGUAGGGGGCGAGCGUUGUCCGGAUUUACUGGGCGUAAAGGGUGAGUAGGCGGUUAUAUAUGUCAGGUGUAAAAAGCUAUGGCUUAACCAUAGUAAGCACUUGAAACUGUAUGACUUGAGUGCAGGAGAGGUAAGCGGAAUUCCUAGUGUAGCGGUGAAAUGCGUAGAUAUUAGGAGGAACGCCGGUGGCGAAGGCGGCUUACUGGGCUGUAACUGACGCUGAGUCACGAAAGCGUGGGUAGCAAACA
rnacentral:rRNA from 1 species